UACGAAGGGGGCUAGCGUUGUUCGGAAUCACUGGGCGUAAAGGGCGCGUAGGCGGCUUUGUAAGUCGGGGGUGAAAGCCUGUGGCUCAACCACAGAAUUGCCUUCGAUACUGCAUGGCCUGAGACCGGAAGAGGUAAGUGGAACUGCGAGUGUAGAGGUGAAAUUCGUAGAUAUUCGCAAGAACACCAGUGGCGAAGGCGGCUUACUGGUCCGGUUCUAACGCUGAGGCGCGAAAGCUAGGGGAGCAAACGGG
rnacentral:rRNA from 1 species